UAGGGAAUCUUCCACAAUGGACGAAAGUCUGAUGGAGCAACGCCGCGUGAGUGAUGAAGGGUUUCGGCUCGUAAAACUCUGUUGUUGGAGAAGAACAGGUGUCAGAGUAACUGUUGACAUCUUGACGGUAUCCAACCAGAAAGCCACGGCUAACUACGUGCCAGCAGCCGCGGUAAUACGUAGGUGGCAAGCGUUGUCCGGAUUUAUUGGGCGUAAAGCGAGCGCAGGCGGUUUCUUAGGUCUGAUGUGAAAGCCUUCGGCUUAACCGGAGAAGUGCAUCGGAAACCAGGAGACUUGAGUGCAGAAGAGGACAGUGGAACUCCAUGUGUAGCGGUGAAAUGCGUAGAUAUAUGGAAGAACACCAGUGGCGAAGGCGGCUGUCUGGUCUGUAACUGACGCUGAGGCUCGAAAGCAUGGGUAGCGAACAGGAUUAGAUACCCUUGGUAGUCCAUGCCGUAAACG
rnacentral:rRNA from 1 species